rnacentral:rRNA from 1 species
GAUGAACGCUGGCGGCGUGCUUAACACAUGCGAGUCGAGCGGAAGGGCCCUUCGGGGUCCUCGAUGGGGUUAGCGGCGGGUGGCUCGGUAGUAACUUGCUCCCGACCUUGUGAUAACCGGCGGACAUGGGGGCUAAUACCCUAAACGACACAGCUUCGCUUGUGGUCUGUGUGCAAAGGUUUUCGGCUUGGGAUGGGCUCGUGGGCUAUCAGCUUGUUGGUGGGGUGAUGGUUUGCCAAGGCGACGACGGGCAGCGGGCCUGAGAGGGCGACCGGCGACACUGGGACUGAGACACGGCCCAGACUCCUACGGGAGGCAGCAGUGGGGAAUAUUGCACAAUGGGCGGAAGCCUGAUGCAGCGACGCCGCGUGAGGGAUGACGGCCUUCGGGUUGUAAACCUCUUUCAGCAGGGACGAAGCGUAAGUGACGGUACCUGCAGAAGAAGCGCCGGCCAACUACGUG